CCUACGGGUGACAGCAGUGGGGAAUAUUGGGCAAUGGAGGCAACUCUGACCCAGCAACGCCGCGUGAAUGAUGAAGGUCUUCGGAUUGUAAAGUUCUGUGAUGGGGGAUGAACACAAUGACGCUACCCCAAUAUCAAGCCACUGCUAACUACGUGCCACCAGCCGCGGUAAUACGUAGGUGGCAAUCGUUAUCCGGAAUUACUGGGCGUAAAGGGUGCGUAGGUUGUUUAGUAAGUUGGCGGUUUAAUUCCGGGGCUCAACCUCGUAUGUACCGCUGAAACCAUCAGGCUAGAGUGAAGGAGAGGUAAGUGGAAUUCCUAGUGUAGCGGUGAAAUGCUUAGAUAUUAGGAGGAACAUCAGGGGCGAAGGCGACUUACUGGACUGUAACUGACACUGAGGCACGAAAGCGUGGGGAGCAAACAGGAUUAGAUACCCCGGUAGUC
rnacentral:rRNA from 1 species